GAUGAACGCUGGCGGCGUGCCUAAUACAUGCAAGUCGAGCGAACAGACGAGGAGCUUGCUCCUCUGACGUUAGCGGCGGACGGGUGAGUAACACGUGGAUAACCUACCUAUAAGACUGGGAUAACUUCGGGAAACCGGAGCUAAUACCGGAUAAUAUAUUGAACCGCAUGGUUCAAUAGUGAAAGACGGUUUUGCUGUCACUUAUAGAUGGAUCCGCGCCGCAUUAGCUAGUUGGUAAGGUAACGGCUUACCAAGGCAACGAUGCUUAGCCGACCCGAGAGGGUGGUCGCCCAGCCGGGCGCUGAGGCUGAGCCCCGACACCUAGGGGGGGACGCAGUGGGGAAUCUUCCGGAAGGGGGGAGUGCCUAACGGAGGACCGCCGGCGAAGUCAUGAGGGUCUUAGGCUGCGAAAGCGCUGUAGUUAGGAGAGAUGAAAUGUUAAAGUAACCAUGAUGGUCUUGACGGUACCUAAUCAGAAAGCCCCGGCUAACUACGUG
rnacentral:rRNA from 1 species